rnacentral:rRNA from 1 species
GAUGAACGCUAGCUACAGGCUUAACACAUGCAAGUCGAGGGGAAACGCCAUCGAAAGCUUGCUUUUGAUGGGCGUCGACCGGCGCACGGGUGAGUAACGCGUAUCCAACCUGCCCACCACUUGGGGAUAACCUUGCGAAAGUAAGACUAAUACCCAAUGACGUCUCUAGAAGACAUCUGAAAGAGAUUAAAGAUUUAUCGGUGAUGGAUGGGGAUGCGUCUGAUUAGCUUGUUGGCGGGGUAACGGCCCACCAAGGCGACGAUCAGUAGGGGUUCUGAGGGGAGGGUCCCCCACAUUGGGACCGAGACCCGGGCCAAACUGCUACGGGAGGCAGCAGUGAGGAAGAUUGGUCAAUGGACGAGAGUCUGAUCCAGCCAAGUAGCGUGCAGGAUGACGGCCCUAUGGGUUGUAAACUGCUUUUAUAAGGGAAUAAAGUGAGUCUCGUGAGACUUUUUGCAUGUACCUGAUGAAUAAGGACCGGCUAAGUCCGUG